CAAGGUCAGAAGAAUGUUAUGAAUAUGGGUGACUCCUCUAAAGAUGCUUCUUUGUCAGUUGAACAUGUGGCUACUGAAGGGAGCCCACUCAAGAAUGAGAGGAGAAGUGGGAGCUUUGUAAGAUCUCAUGAUGAAGCAAAACAAGGUGGGUCUGGUAAUGAGUCUGAGGAAACUGAGUUCAGUGGUGGUGGUCGUCAAGAAGAGCAAUCUAUGUUGGAAGGAAAUGGCGGGGAACUGUCUGCUAAAAGCCCUGGCUUAAAGAAAAGGAAAAGGAAUGGGCAGGAUGCUGACCUUGAUCAGGCCAAGGGAACCCAACAAUCUGUUGAAGCUGCAAAGGAUAACCCUGAAGUUCAACAGAAAGGAGAUGAAAACCCAACUUCAACUCCUAUUAAGGCUACUGGAAAACAAUGUAAACUAGGAUCUCAAGCUUCAGAUCCACCAAAAGAAGAAUAUAUUCAUGUCAGAGCUCGAAGAGGUCAAGCAACAAAUAGUCAUAGUCUUGCAGA
rnacentral:misc_RNA from 1 species